AGCUCUUAACUGCCAUUUUUUCUAACUGCCAAGUCAAAGCCUUCGUACACCUCCACCUGUAUGAGAGCAAGUUGGAGAGGGGGAUGUCAGAAUAUACACGACGAUACAUCUGGCAAAUCAUUUUACACAAAUAGAGCAACAUCUGCAAUGACAAAAACCUCAAAUGAAUUCACAUUGCAGCUAGAAACAGAAGAUCUUCCAAAAUAAUAAAUCAAAGAAAAAUACUAAUAUUAACAUUCUGUGGACAUGCAGAACACAAGUACUGGAAUAAAAACAAAACAAUAUCUGUACCGAAAACCUGGCACUUCAAUUACAUCUGUUUCAGUGUUAGAUUUUCAGUCUAUGAGCAAACUUGAUAGAUUAUCAAAUUCCAGCAUUAUAAUUGUAAUUUUGUUAUUCUUAAAAUAAAAAAUAAAUAAAAAGAAUUAAACAUU